GUGCCUUAAACUAACGAGUAAGGAAAAUAACAUGUCAUGCUAACCGCAUGAUGAUGCUUUAGCACACGAAGCAAUAAAGCGGCACUCAGUUGUUUAGCUUAUGCUUCUUAAAGCUUAAUUUUUUGAUGGGCCAGAGGUCGUCCCCUUGAAUUAGUAUCACUACUUUAGAUGCUUGAUUCGGGUGAAGCGAUCUAGCCC